rnacentral:rRNA from 1 species
AACGCUGGCGGCAUGCCUUACACAUGCAAGUCGAACGGUAACAGGUCUUCGGAUGCUGACGAGUGGCGAACGGGUGAGUAAUACAUCGGAACGUGCCCGAUCGUGGGGGAUAACGAAGCGAAAGCUUUGCUAAUACCGCAUACGAUCUACGGAUGAAAGCAGGGGACCGCAAGGCCUUGCGCGAACGGAGCGGCCGAUGGCAGAUUAGGUAGUUGGUGGGAUAAAAGCUUACCAAGCCGACGAUCUGUAGCUGGUCUGAGAGGACGACCAGCCACACUGGGACUGAGACACGGCCCAGACUCCUACGGGAGGCAGCAGUGGGGAAUUUUGGACAAUGGGCGAAAGCCUGAUCCAGCCAUGCCGCGUGCAGGAUGAAGGCCUUCGGGUUGUAAACUGCUUUUGUACGGAACGAAAAGACUCUGGUUAAUACCUGGGGUCCAUGACGGUACCGUAAGAAUAAGCACCGGCUAACUACGUGCCAGCAGCCGCGGUAAUACGUAGGGUGCAAGCGUUAAUCGGAAUUACU